rnacentral:misc_RNA from 1 species
GAUGAAGAACGUAGCGAAAUGCGAUAAGUAAUGUGAAUUGCAGAAUUCAGUGAAUCUUCGAGUCUUUGAACGCACAUUGCGCCCCCUGGUAUUCCGGGGGGCAUGCCUGUCCGAGCGUCAUUGCUGCCCUCAAGCACGGCUUGUGUGUUGGGCCCCGUCCCCUCCCCCGGGGACGGGCCCGAAAGGCAGCGGCGGCACCGCGUCCGAUCCUCGAGCGUAUGGGGCUUUGUCACCCGCUCUGUAGGCCCGGCCGGCGCCAGCCGACACCCAACUUUUAUUUCUAAGGUUGACCUCGGAUCAGGUAGGGAUACCCGCUGAACUUAAGCAUAUCAAUAAGCGGAGGA